UCAUAUUAUCUCCCGACUUUUAUCUAUUUUUUUUAUUUUUUUUAUUUUUUAUGUAUUUCUGAAUUCUUCAUCAAUUAAAAACCGAGAAUUAUUACUCCAUCCGUCCAUCUGCGUAACUAAAAAUAACCGCUAUUAUACGAGAUAUAAAUAGAUCUUGUUAAAAAAUAAUAUUUUUUGGUUAUUCUCUCGAGUGAAAAGCAUUGUACGAGAGGGCUAUAGGUCGGAUCAAUAUGGCUGAACUUGAAUUUGUGACUGACUGAGGUAGUUGUAGUGUUUACUCAUUUUUAACGUCGCUCCUGCUGGAGUCAGCAUCGGACGUGGUUCGUUAUCGUCACGGUUAAAUUCUUCACCCCUAUUUGAAUGUGGAAAUCAUAAUUGGUGAAGUAAGCAUUAAAAACGGCUCGAAGACGGAAAUCGAUUAUCCGAAGAAUCGACAAUUAAAUUAACAAAAAAUUAAUUAAUCGAUGUUUGACUCAAAUCUGCAUAUUAACGAAUGGAAGGAGGUUUUAAUGAUGUAGUGAAUAAUAAAGUUUUGGGUCGGUAUAAGCACGAUUGGAUGUAGUCGUUGGGUGUUUUUAAACAUCUUUCCGAUUUCAUCAAACAUUAAUGUGUUACUUGGAACAACUCAGAAGAGAAAUGAAAAGCCAACAGCUUCGACUUAAGAGGUUUUUACUUCACUCGAUGGAAUAACAUUAAUAAAUAACCGAUGCGCUUUAGUUUGGUCCCACCGUCGUCCCUGCUAAGUGCACCGAACUAAAACAUAAUAUUUUCAUGCGAUUUCUCGGAACGUUCACAUAAUGUUGAUGACUAGAGAAUGUUUCUGGGAAGUUGUCCAUAGAUUAGAAGCGCGGGUGGUUCAUUAACUGGUAUUGUAAUGAGAGGAAGGAAGGCGGAAAAGACGUGGCCAACCGUGCGAGAGACGUCUUUUUUUUUCAUUUAUUUUUCUGUGUAUAUUCUCCAUCACUGUAAGCUCUUCGUCAUCUUUACUGGAGCAUGUCAAAUGGACAGUCCUUCAGAAAUAUCUAUUUCCACUCAAAGUACAUUCCAGAGAUGUUUCGUCCACUUUUUCAAAAGACAAUCCAUUCGAUCAUCAGAACUGGAACUACUUAUGGAUAAGAUCUGAAUUGAGGAAGAUCACAGAAUAUAUUCUGAAAGUAGGGAUGCUGUAAGAGAGCCGCUAGAUGUCUAGCCAGCGAGAAAAGAGAGAGAGAGAGGUGAAGACCUCCGUAUCUGUCCAGGGGGUCUUGUCCGUGUCAUUACAGACGCUGGUGAUGGAUGGACAGAUUCCGAUGAUAAGUACCUUUGUGCCCAGCGUACUCUAGGUGACAGUCACCGGUCAGAAUGCUGUCGGGGUUAAUAGGGACGGAUUGAUAGACACAGGCCAGGGCGGUCAGCUAGAGGUCACGACAGAAGCUUUGCCAUAACUAAAGCUGUUUUCCUUCCCCGUGCCGACUAGGGAAACAUCAGCCAUCAUAAAAUAAUCCAUAUACUAGACUAGAAAUUAUUUUCUACUGCCCGUGGCAUUGUUUAAAUCGCCAUUUUAAAAUUAACGCAAUAACGGAAGCACAUUUAAAUACCGGAGCGGUUAAAAUGGCUGGAAGGGCAAAAUGUCAGUUUAAGUUGUCCCGAUUGCUUUGUUUUAUUUUCAUGUGGAUUAUUCUAUUUACUUUAGAAGUAAGUAGAUUUAUAUGCUUCCUGUUCAAUCUAUUACCGAAGGGUAAUGCUAUUUUUAGUUGACGGAAAUUUCUGUCUUCGUCUUGGCCUUUCUACCGUUUUCAUCGAUCGGAUAUUUCAAUUAAAGUUGAGAAUGGCGCGUGUUGGACGUGCGACUGUCGAAAAAAAAAUGGGUUCAUAAACGCCAGGCUUAUCUUCGGAUUAAAACGUUAGCGAUUUGGUCUUUCGUGCCAGAUCUACGGUGGCAGACACGUGCAUCAAUUCCAGUCAAGUACAUAAGGAGAGUGAAGAUAAUUAAGGAUAAAGGGGACUGGCUUGUCCAUUAGACGAUCUUCCUGUUUUGCUACCUCGUCCUACAUGUGUGUCACGGGGCCAGGGAAUGCGAUCUCCUGUAUUAAUGACCGUCUGACGUGACUUUUAUCCACCCCGGGGUUCAAAGGGGCAGAUGACGUGCUGUCAGCUUUAUCUUCUACCACCUGGAAAAAAAUAAGCCCUUUUUUUAAUGUGGUAAACAGUUAGGCGGGGAUGGAACCGAUACUCCGACCCCAACAGUCGAAUAAAGACCAAACAAUGUUUUAGUAUAACUGUCGAGCUGUUAUGAGUAAAUGGAGAUGUCCACAGUCGGCGUGUACUUAAGAGAGGAGUCGGUGUUUCCCCAAAGUAUUCUACGUCUUCGUUCGUGUCAGGUUUUCACGCCGGUCACCUGCUCCGCUCGGGGUAUUGACGUUCGCCAUAGCUGCAGCACUUGGCCUGGCCGUCUCUGUCGGCAUUCAGCCUUCUAGCUUUUUUUUUUUUUUCUUCUUCUUCUUCUUUUCUACCUCCUCCUCCUCUUCCUCCUCCUUCCCUCCUCUGCCCACGUUCUGUACUCCCCGGCUAUAUUGAUUUUAGAAAUGCCACUUCUCUCUAUAGAUAGCCGGAGGACUUUUAGGUCACACACUGUACUGUCGGGUCACUCGCUGACCUGGCUCUCUUCCCUUACACACAUUGCCACGUAAUUGUAGUCUGUUUCAUUUUCUGCACUUUUGAUCUAUUUACGUAGCCAGUUUAGUAAUUUUCUCUCGGCCAUCCUCUAUCCAGUUUCUUUCCUCUUAAAUGUAUUCCUUUAUUACCGACACAUACACUUCAGCGCAAAAAUAAUACGUGUGUGUUUAAUAUUUUUUUACUUCUCUUAUUGGACGGAUGGAUUUUUUACUUUUCUGUUUUUUUUAAGAUGACGAUUGAUUUCUUCCCGUAUACUAAUUAAGAUUUCUGUCUUAUCAUUAAAAACUCGUUAGAUCUACCAA
rnacentral:lncRNA from 1 species